UACGUAGGAUGCAAGCGUUGUCCGGAAUUAUUGGGCGUAAAGAGCGCGCAGGCGGUUUGAGAAGUCAGAUGUGAAAGAGGCCGGCUUAACCGGCAAGGGUCAUUUGAAACUGACAGACUAGAGUACAGCAGAGGAUAGCGGAAUUCCCGGUGUAGUGGUGAAAUGCGUAGAUAUCGGGAGGAACACCAGUGGCGAAGGCGGGUCUCUGGGCAAUAACUGACGCUGAGGAGCGAAAGCGUGGGGAGCGAACAGG
rnacentral:rRNA from 1 species